GACGAACGCUGGCGGCGUGCUUAACACAUGCAAGUCGAACGGAAAGGCCCUGCUUUUGUGGGGUGCUCGAGUGGCGAACGGGUGAGUAACACGUGAGUAACCUGCCCUUUACUUUGGGAUAACUUCAGGAAACUGGGGCUAAUACCGGAUAGGAGCUCCUGCUGCAUGGUGGGGGUUGGAAAGUUUCGGCGGUUGGGGAUGGACUCGCGGCUUAUCAGCUUGUUGGUGGGGUAGUGGCUUACCCAGGCUUCGACGGGUAGCCGGCCUGAGUGGGUGACCGGCCACAUUGGGACUGAGAUACGGCACAGACGCCUACGGGAGGCAGCAGUGGGGAAUAUUGCACAAUGGGCGGAAGCCUGAUGCAGCAACGCCGCGUGCGGGAUGACGGCCUUCGGGUUGUAAACCGCUUUCGCCUGUGACGAAGCGUGAGUGACGGUAAUGGGUAAAGAAGCACCGGCUAACUACGUG
rnacentral:rRNA from 1 species